rfam:Myotis davidii contig204454, whole genome shotgun sequence.
CGUGCACUGGUGGGGUCCCUCAGCCUGGCCUGUGCCCUCUCACAAUCUAGGACCCUCGGGGGAUGUCAGAGGCCCAGUGCACGGAUUCGGCCCAAUCCCUGCAGGCCAGGCUGAGGGACUCCACCAGUGCAUG